UCCGAGUUUCUCUCGGCAGUCGGGCCUGAGGGAUACAACAGACCCAGAGGGUUGCGCUCGUUGCGGGACUUAACCCAACAUCUCACGACACGAGCUGACGACGGCCGUGCAACACCUGUGCAUGCUCCCUUGCGGGUCGCUCACCUUUCGGAUCGCUACCACAUGCAUGUCAAGCCUGGGUAAGGUUUUUCGCGUACCAUCGAAUUGAACCGCACGCUCCGCUGCUUGUGCGGGCCCCCGUCAAUUCCUUUGAGUUUUAGCCUUGCGGCCGUACUCCCCAGGUGGGUCACUUAAUGCGUUAGCUUCGGCACUGCGGGGGUCGAUACCUGCAACACCUAGUGACCAUUGUUUACGGCUAGGACUAA
rnacentral:misc_RNA from 1 species